CGACAGCAGGAAGGAUUCAAGGGAACCUUCCCUGAUGCGAGAGAGCAGGAGAUACGGAUGGGUCAGAUGGCUAUGGGAGGUGCCAUGGGCA